UUUGUUGCACCGGAAGUAGGUAGUCUAACCCUCGGGAGGACGCUUACCACGGUGUGGCCGAUGACUGGGGUGAAGUCGUAACAAGGUAGCCGUAGGUGAACCUGCAGAAGGAUCA
rnacentral:rRNA from 1 species